rnacentral:lncRNA from 1 species
GGUGACGGGCAGUGACCCUUGCAGGAGUCUUGUAUUGCACAUCCUUCUCAGUUUACCAGGAACAAUGGAUCUACUUAAUCUGUUUCAAUUCCAGAGAUGUUCAGCUUGAUGAGGGCACACAAGACUUUAUAUUUAAAAAGAGUAUUUGAAGGAAAGAUGCCAAAAGUAGAAACCAAGCAACUUUGGGUCACAAGGGCCGCUGCUUCUGGGUCACAGCCCAAGGGAGGCAUGCCAUGGGCUCCCUGGCCUGCUUCCAUUGCCUGCUGGCUAAGCGAUGCAGAGAACUACAGCAGCUGCCUCAGACCCAGAGGCUAAGCCAAGUGUUCAGGAUGGCAGAGCCAUUGGACCAGCUGUGGACUCUAUGCCUCUGAAGAUGUACUCAAGAAAUAAACUGGAUUACGUUUA